AUUAUGACGUCACUGCUCCCGUUAAGUUUUGCAACCAGGCUCUUUUUUUCCCCUGUAUGAUCCACAUGCGAUGGUAUGAAAGUUGUACAACGCUAACUGUACAUGCAGGACUGAAAUACUCUAGAAUGUAAUGUCACUGUAUAGGCCCUGUACAUUUUUACGAAAGGGGAUGUAUGCCCGAUCAGUCGGUAGUGUCGAAGCCUGGAGAGACCCCGCAACUUUUCCUGAUGUGUGGCAGAGGGUAGACAUUUUUUUUGGUUUACAUUAGUUACCUAGCUUCAUACUAUACAGUACUACUGAAACCUUGUAUGUAGAUUUUACAGGACAGUUCUCAAGACGACCAUGGCUAACCGACUGUCAGACCUUUUCUCGAACAGCCGUCUCGUCAUUGGAUUAUUGGCCAAUUUGCUAUCAUCCAUAUGCAUCGUUUUCAUCAACAAAUGGAUCUAUGUUCACUAUGGCUUUCCAAACAUGACUCUAACUCUGAUUCAUUUCGUUGUGACAUGGCUUGGACUAUGGGUAUGCCAGAAGAUGGACAUAUUUGCGCCAAAGAGUCUCCAACCCACCAAAAUUAUCUGGCUCGCUCUAAGUUUCUGUGGCUUCGUGGCUUUCACCAAUCUGUCUUUACAAAACAACACCAUCGGUACUUACCAGCUGGCCAAAGCGAUGACAACUCCUGUGAUCAUUGUCAUACAGACAAUGUACUACAAGAAGACAUUCUCCACCAAGAUCAAGUUGACUUUGGUGCCCAUAACGUUAGGUGUGAUCCUCAACUCCUACUAUGAUGUGAGAUUCAACCUCCUGGGAUGGUCUUUGCCACACUAGGGGUGUUCGUCACCUCCCUCUAUCAGGUGUGGGUAGGUGUGAAACAGCAUGAGCUCCAGGUUAACUCCAUGCAGCUACUCUACUACCAGGCCCCCAUGUCCUCUGCCUUCCUCCUCUCCCUCGUGCCCUUCUUCGAACCUCUCUCUGGGGAGGGGG